AUUUUACCAGCUACACCCACACCCUCAAUUCUACUUGAAAUUAAUCUUAAAGAAAUUUUGAAUUUGCUGAUAAUUUGAGAUCAGUAAAGAUUUUCCCUGAAAGUUCUAAGCGUGUGUGCUGAGUUGGAAGGGCUGCAGAAGUGGGUCACGCUCACCCAACUGGAACUCGAAAGACUCAUAGAGAGCAAGCACUGGACAAUGGCCUGGUGUCCAUGAUGUAUCCCUGCCUGUCGUUACUAAUCCUACUCAGGGCCAAGCUGGAGAGAAAUAGUCCUUUCAGCCACAAGUCUUAAUAGUUUGCGUGAGUGUUAAUCUGCUUCUCAUAGAGUCACCAUGAAACACACCUUAGACAGAAUAAUACAAAGCUUUAACAAAGACCCCAUAAGAACUUCAUAUCUGAGUACCAUUUGCAAUCGAUUUACAAAUAAUGCUAGCAUCCUUAGCGACUUCUUCAGGCAAGGUUAUACUGGGGGUUUUUGAGGCUAAGCAGGUGAACUGGGAGUACCGCACACAGCAUGGCUUCCAGCCUGAAGUGACUGUAAAACGCCAGUGAAUAGAGAGGCUCAAGGCUGAGUAAAGGAUCCUGCACACUCAACAAGCUCAUCCUUCUCUGCACCCGAGUUGUUUAUAGAGUCCCAGUUACAGAGCUUUCAGAAGGUGGAAUUCGUCCACAGCACACUAUUGAUGCCUAUCGAAUCUAAGGAAAUUAACUAAGAAGGGAAGAAAUAAUCUUCAUAGAGGGAUUUGAGAACCCAGAAGACGGUAUGGGCCUGGCAGUGUGCAUGCUGCAAACUAUGCACCAUCACUGGCCUAAAACGCACCUCUGUGUGCAUCAUUUACUCACGUUUAAAAAUCACCCUCUACUUGUUCCCCUGUGACCCUCAUUGGACUAUAUCCAGACAGCACUAAAGUGAUAGCCAGAAAAAGUAGAAACAACCCAUGUGUUCAUCCACUGACGAAUGGAUCAAAACAUGUGGCGUGUCCAUCCAUACAAGGGGAUAUUACCCAGCAGUCAAAAGGAGCAAAGAACUGAUGUAUACCACACCAUGGCUGAUUCUCAACAGUAUGUUCAGUGAAAGAAACCAGUCAC
rnacentral:lncRNA from 1 species